rnacentral:rRNA from 1 species
GCAUAUCCAUAGCGGAGGAAAAGGAAACUAACAAGGAUUUCCCCUAGUAACUGCGAGUGAAGCGGGAAAAGCUCAAAUUUAAAAUCUGGCGGUCUUCGGCCGUCCGAGUUGUAGUCUGGAGAAGCGUCUUCCGCGUCGGACCGUGUACAAGUCUCUUGGAACAGAGCGUCAUAGAGGGUGAGAAUCCCGUCUUUGACACGGACUACCAAUGCUUUGUGAUGCGCUCUCAAAGAGUCGAGUUGUUUGGGAAUGCAGCUCAAAAUGGGUGGUAAAUUCCAUCUAAAGCUAAAUAUUGGCGAGAGACCGAUAGCGAACAAGUACCGUGAGGGAAAGAUGAAAAGCACUUUGGAAAGAGAGUUAAACAGUACGUGAAAUUGCUGAAAGGGAAACGAUUGAAGUCAGUCGCGUCGUUCAGAACUCAACCUUGCCUUCGGGCUCGGUGCACUUUCUGUUUGACGGGCCAGCAUCAGUUUUGACUGUCGGAAAAAGGUCUUCGGAAUGUGGCACCUCCGGGUGUGUUAUAGCCGUUGGUCGUAUACGACGGUUGGGACUGAGGACCGCAGCACGCCUUUUGGCCGGGGUUCGCCCACGUACGUGCUUAGGAUGCUGGCGUAAUGGCUUUAAACGACCCGUCUUGAAACACGGACCAAGGAGUCUAACAUGCAUGCGAGUGUUUGGGUGGAAAACCCGAGCGCGUAAUGAAAGUGAAAGUUGGGAUCCCUGUCGUGGGGAGCACCGACGCCCAUACCAGACCUUCUGUGACGGAUAUGCGGUAGAGCAUGUAUGUUGGGACCCGAAAGAUGGUGAACUAUGCCUGAAUAGGGUGAAGCCAGAGGAAACUCUGGUGGGAGGCUCGUAGCGAUUCUGACGUGCAAAUCGAUCGUCAAAUUUGGGGUAUAGGGGGCGAAAGACUAAUCGAACCAUCUAGUAGCUGGUUCCUGCCGAG